AAGUCGUAACAAGGUUUCCGUAGGUGAACCUGCGGAAGGAUCAUUAUUGAAUCUUCAAUUACGUAUGUGAACUUGCUGAACCACGAAUGAAGCAGCUGUUGUUGUAGGAAAGGGUAGUAAUAUCCGAUCCUACAGAGAAGUAGAGGGGGUGACCCUAAUGCUGAACAACGGUCAGAGACUCGUGGGUAGGCGUAACCGCUGACGGACUUUGAGCCGUCAGUCUUUUAACCAACCCUUCAUCAUUGACUUUGACUGAAAUCUUUAUUAAUUAAAGACAACUUUUAGCAACGGAUCUCUAGGCUCUC
rnacentral:misc_RNA from 1 species